rnacentral:lncRNA from 1 species
AUAAGUAGUGGUGCAGCUAGCAAAACAUUCCGCAGUAGAAAACAAUCAAGGAUGUAUGGACAUGAUUCACGAGAAAUGAGAAUAACAUGAGAAUCCAUUGGAACAUCAAAUGGAGGCUCACCAGCCAUCAUAUUACUUUCACAUAACAUUUGUCUCGAUCACAGCAUUUCAUUUAAAACACUCAGAAGUCACCUACAGAAGCUAAAUCGAAGGUAGAUUGGCAAAUCUUUGAAGCAACCAGCGUCGGAACCAUAGUCACGAUUUCCAAGGCUUAAACCUCCUGCACGCUCAAGCCUGCCAAAAGAAGAGUUAAAAAAUCAGUAUCUUGCAAAGUGGCCGGGAAAUUUCACAUCCAUGUUUCAACUUGAAACAAAAUAAAAAUGGGGAUACAUGGAGGCAGAUGCACUGAUGCACACAAUAGAACCAAAUUUCUGAUCUAAUCCUUGUCUAAUACUUCUUAGCAGAGGGCCUGUCGGGUAGAACAAAAUCAAAGAAAGCAUGUACAACCUAAGAUUUAACUAAACACUCUGUUUAAAGGGGCAUGAUCAAUCAUGGAGCACAAAGGCAUAAUCAGUAGUGGUGACAUGAAUUCCUACAUCACUCCAACUAAGUAAGCUGACAUUCACAGGAACCAACGAUAUUGCAAUGGGGGUCUUCUGAGUUAUGACUAUUGAGGCAAAGAACAGAGGAGCUUUCAGCUAAAAGACCUGAGCAACAACCAGAGUCAAUUAGCACGUAAAAUAAUAGAAAUUAAACAGCUCGUGCAAAGUUCAUAUGAUGCGCGCAUGUAAAAUCUAAUGGUUCUCAAAUGAUGUUCACAAUAAACUACAUGCGCAACAAAACCAGUAACAUGGUCAGAAGUCAGAAAUCUGACAGAAUGGCUUGCUAUUCUGUGAAAAGGUCACUUGUGUAAGCCAUGAAACAAAAUGUCAAUUCCACUAACCCUGGAGACAUCUAGAUACACACCAUGCAGAUCAAAAUGGGUUUAGCCAAUGCCAAAUACAUAGUGCGAUACAUACCAGGAGGGAGAGACUGCUUCAGCUUGUUGGCCUUCUCAGUGUCGAACACACACAGUGUGUAGAGGUACUUGGAGCAGCGAACCUUGAACUUGACGGCAUCCUUGCUCCUCUUGAUCCUCACGGAGCGGGCAUCCUUCCUCCUCGCUGUCAGAAGGAAAUCCUUGAUCUCA